CUCAAAGGAAUUGACGGGGCCCGCACAAGCGGUGGAGCAUGUGGUUUAAUUCGACGCAACGCGAAGAACCUUACCAGGGCUUGACAUCUUCUGACCGCUUAAGGAACUUAAGCUUUCCGGAAGGUUUACUUUCUGGACAGAAAGACAGGUGGUGCAUGGUUGUCGUCAGCUCGUGUCGUGAGAUGUUGGGUUAAGUCCCGCAACGAGCGCAACCCCUACGGUUAGUUGCUAACGGGUAAGGCCGAGCACUUUAGCCGAACUGCCGUUGACAAAACGGAGGAAGGCGGGAUGACGUCAAAUCAUCAUGCCCUUUAUGUCCUGGGCUACACACGUGCUACAAUGGCCUGUACAAAGGGCAGCAAAGGGGCGGCCCGGAGCAAAUCCCAAAAAACAGGUCUCAGUUCGGAUUGCAGGCUGCAACUCGCCUGCAUGAAGGCGGAAUCGCUAGUAAUCGCAGGUCAGCAUACUGCGGUGAAUACGUUCCCGGGCCUU
rnacentral:rRNA from 1 species